AGACACAUACACAAGAGUGCAAGACCACACCAAAGGACUCCCCACACCCUUCACCAAACAUCACUGAUGAUAAGGCUGUUUGUUUGGGCUACAUGUCAAGGAGACUGAUGCCAUCUCUCCAGAGAUGCCUUCCUGACCACUCCCUUCCACUGGAUAUGUCCCGCUGCUGUUCCUUCAGCCAUACUGACAAAUUCUCUGGUUUCUCCAUGAGGCACAUGGACAAGUCUUCUUCAUAGAACCUGUUUCAGACAAACAGCAACAUUUCAGGGCACUAGUCUGCUGACAGCCAAACCUGUUCCCCAGGUUCUUCCUCUUCCAAAACACCAAAGGACAGAACCAUCACUGACCUGCACGUCCCGCGCUGACAUCCCUGCUGGGAGCCGAAUGCCGGCUUGCCUCAUUCUGACCGACUGACGCCGCAGCUCCUCGCUCGGACGGGAAGGACUCUUCCCAGCUCCGAUUCCUCUCCCGGGGCUCGGUGACCUCCUUCGAUUCUCACCGCAGGGAUUGCCAAGGACAUCCGGAAGGAUGGAAACAGCAUUAAUAGGCUGUACACAGGAGUAUUUUUCCGAGUCACAGAGCGAGACGGCACAGUGGAGGUGAACUUCAUCAUAAUCUCCGAUGAACUUGAAGACGGUGACGUGGAAGCGACAAGUCAAUGACACUCCAUUCUCCUCAAUGCCGAUGGUGUUGUCCUUCAUGUUUUGGCACCUGCACAAACAGCUCGUGCUCACCCAGGCCCUCACAGAUGCAGCCUCGUCUCGAGAGCCUUUGCCCUCCCCUGACCCUCUAAAUCCCCUCUUCUGCUUCCCAGAGCAAUGCCAGUAA